GAUGAAGAACGCAGCGAAAUGCGAUACUUGGUGUGAAUUGCAGAAUCCCGUGAACCAUCGAGUCUUUGAACGCAAGUUGCGCCCGAAGCCACUAGGCCGAGGGCACGCCUGCCUGGGCGUCACACGUCGUUGCCCCCCACCAUCUACUCCUUCGGGAUUGCGGGGGGCGGAUGAUGGCCUCCCGGGCGCCUAGCCGCGCGGUUGGCAUAAAUACCAAGUCCUCGGCGACGCACGCCACGACAAUCGGUGGUUGCGAAACCUCGGUUGCCCGUCGUGUGCGUUCGUCGCGCAUCGAGGGCUCGAAAAAAUGCUCGGCUCCGGCUCGGCUUUCAACGCGACCCCAGGUCAGGCGGGGUUACCCGCUGAAUUUAAGCAUAUCAAUAAGCGGAGGA
rnacentral:misc_RNA from 1 species